rnacentral:rRNA from 1 species
GACGAACGCUGGCGGCGUGCUUAACACAUGCAAGUCGAACGGAAAGGCCCCUUUGGGGGUGCUCGAGUGGCGAACGGGUGGGUAACACGUGAGUAACCUGCCCUUGCCUUCGGGAGAACUUCAUGAAACUGGGGCGAAUACCGACUAGGUAUCCUUGCCGCAUGCUGGGGGUGGGAAAGCUUCGGCGGGUUUGGAUGGACUCGCGGCUUAUCUGCUUGUUGGUGGGGUAGUGGCUUACCAAGGCUUUGACGGGUAGCCGGCCUGGGGGGGGGACCGGCCACAUUGGGACUGAGAUACGGCCCCGACUCCUACGGGGGGCAGCAGGGGGGAAUAUUGCACCAUGGGCGGAAGCCUGAUGCAGCAACGCCGCGUGCGGGAGGACGGCCUUCGGGUUGGAAACCGCUUUCAGCAGGGGCGAAGCUUGUGGUGACGGUACCUGCAGAAGAAGCACCGGCUAACUACGUG